GUUUCAGGACAACAUUUGGGAAACACACUUUGGAGGACCAACAAAGCUGAUCUAGAUAAAGUACCAGCACUCAAGAGCAGAAAAUUGAAGCAAAAAUAAGCAGGAGUGGGUGACUAUUCUACACCCUGGAAAACUGCAACAGGACUGCUGUUCCCAACCAAGACUGUUAUGACCCAAAGUAACAGAGCUGAGUGGCUCCAUGCAGAAGUCUGUGUUCAACAUCUGUCAUGCUGGAGAUCAUUAAUGUUCAAUUGCUUCCUAUUGUCUUCAUGUCAUUCAACUUCAUUUCAUUGUCAUUGCUUCAGCUGGGGGAUUAAUCAACUAUUUAUGAGAAGACAGGACUUGGAGUCAGGGCGGUCACAAUGGGGUUAUAGUCUGAGCAAUGGUGGGGAAAGCAAGUCACGGUUAAAAGACUCCUAGUUUGUGACAGUUUGUUGACACUUUAAUUAAAUAAACAUAUUUGAGAAUAA
rnacentral:lncRNA from 1 species